rnacentral:rRNA from 1 species
CCCUUAGAUGUUCUGGGCCGCACGCGCGCUACACUGUUCGACGCAGCGAGUCUUAACCUUGACCGAAAGGUUUGGGUAAUCUUCAGCAAAGUCGAACGUGAUGGGGAUCGAUCAUUGCAAUUAUUGAUCGUGAACGAGGAAUUCCUAGUAAGUGCAAGUCAUCAGCUUGCGCUGAUUACGUCCCUGCCCUUUGUACACACCGCCCGUCGCUACUACCGAUUGAAUGGUUUAGUGAGAUCUCUGGAUUGACGCUGGCUAGGGGGCGACCCUUGGCCAGACUGUUGAGUAACUGCUCAAACUUGAUCAUUUAGAGGAAGUAAAAGUCGUAACA